rnacentral:rRNA from 1 species
AGCGAACGCUGGCGGCAGGCUUAACACAUGCAAGUCGAGCGCCCCGCAAGGGGAGCGGCAGACGGGUGAGUAACACGUGGGAACGUACCCUUUGGUUCGGAACAACCCAGGGAAACUCGGGCUAAUACCGGAUAAGUCCGCGAGGAGAAAGAUUUAUCGCCGAAGGAUCGGCCCGCGUCUGAUUAGCUAGUUGGUGUGGUAACGGCGCACCAAGGCGACGAUCAGUAGCUGGUCUGAGAGGAUGAUCAGCCACACUGGGACUGAGACACGGCCCAGACUCCUACGGGAGGCAGCAGUGGGGAAUAUUGGACAAUGGGGGCAACCCUGAUCCAGCCAUGCCGCGUGAGUGAUGAAGGCCCUAGGGUUGUAAAGCUCUUUCGGUGGGGAAGAUAAUGACGGUACCCACAGAAGAAGCCCCGGCUAACUUCGUG